rnacentral:rRNA from 1 species
UUGAUCCUGGCUCAGGAUUAACGCUGGCGGCGUGCCUAAUACAUGCAAGUCGAACGGAAGUACCUUCGGGUACUUUAGUGGCGAACGGGUGAGUAAUACAUAGGUAACCUACCCUUAAGACGAGGAUAGCCAUUGGAAACGAUGGAUAAAACUGGAUAGGAUAUAGAGGAAGAAUCUUUUAUAUUUAAAAGAGAGAUCUGCUUAAGGAGGGGCCUGUGGCGCAUUAGCUAGUUGGUGGGGUAAGGGCCUACCAAGGCGAUGAUGCGUAGCCGGACUGAGAGGUUGAACGGCCACAAUGGAACUGAGAACGGUCCAUACUCCUACGGGAGGCAGCAGUAGGGAAUUUUCGGCAAUGGGGGGAACCCUGACCGAGCAACGCCGCGUGAACGAAGAAGUUAUUCGUAAUGUAAAGUUCUUUUAUCAGGGAAGAAAGA